ACCAUUUUAUGAGAGGUUGAAGACCAGCGGAAGUUUGAUGAACUGCGUUUGUUCAUAGGACGGCGACACACGGCAAUCUAUGGUAAUAUCCAACAGUGUGGUCUUUUUCGAGUUCAUAGUCCAAAGCUCACCACCGGCCCUUGGGUCUGCAACAGCGGGAUACUGGCGCUACAUUAUGUGAGGCAGUGGAUGUGGACAAAGGCUUUAUCGCCAUUAGGAGAUGAGAUCGACCAUUCCAGGAUGAUCCUUCUUUAUGAAGGUUUGGUAUUAGCUGGGAACAUCAGGCAACUCCCUGCAAAAUUCAAGAUGUGCCAGAUAGAUUGUUGAGAAGGGAGCAAUAGCUUGGUCGGACUAUCACUAUUAGCAUCGCCACAAUCAAGAAGUCAGAAGGGCGUCAUCUGCAACGGCCUUAUCA